GCAAAUCUAUUUUUAGAAUAUAAAGGUCGAGGCAACUCAGUUCCAGUAAGGACUGUUUGAUUCAUUCUCUUGUGCACAAAAUAAAUUUUAUCGUAUAAAAUCACGUGCAAGGUUUUCUAGAAGCAGAGAAAUCGUAAUAAAAUAAAUUAUCGCUAUUUUGUGUAUUUUUCCUUUGAUCUUUUUUUGUGAUAAUUUUCAUAUCAUGCUUCUCGCUUGAGAUGGAAAAAUU
rnacentral:lncRNA from 1 species